GAUGAAGAACGCAGCGAAAUGCGAUAAGUAAUGUGAAUUGCAGAAUUCAGUGAAUCAUCGAAUCUUUGAACGCACAUUGCGCCCGCCAGUAUUCUGGCGGGCAUACCUGUCCGAGCGUCAUUUCAACCCUCGAACCCCUCCGGGGGGUCGGCGUUGGGGAUCGGCCCUUUCACCGGGUGCCGGCCCCUAAAUACAGUGGCGGUCUCGCCGCAGCCUCUCAUGCGCAGUAGUUUGCACACUCGCACCGGGAGCGCGGCGCGUCCUCGUCCGUAAAACACCCCAAACUUCUGAAAUGUUGACCUCGGAUCAGGUAGGAAUACCCGCUGAACUUAAGCAUAUCAAUAAGCGGAGGA
rnacentral:misc_RNA from 1 species